AACGAACGCUGGCGGCAUGCCUAACACAUGCAAGUCGAACGAGACCUUCGGGUCUAGUGGCGCACGGGUGCGUAACGCGUGGGAACCUGCCCUUAGGUUCGGAAUAACUCCCCGAAAGGGGUGCUAAUACCGGAUAAUGUCUUCGGACCAAAGAUUUAUCGCCUUUGGAUGGGCCCGCGUUGGAUUAGCUAGUUGGUAGGGUAAAAGCCUACCAAGGCGACGAUCCAUAGCUGGUCUGAGAGGAUGAUCAGCCACACUGGGACUGAGACACGGCCCAGACUCCUACGAGAGGCAGCAGUGGGGAAUAUUGGACAAUGGGCGAGAGCCUGAUCCAGCAAUGCCGCGUGAGUGAUGAAGGCCUUAGGGUUGUAAAGCUCUUUUACCCGGGAUGAUAAUGACAGUACCGGGAGAAUAAGCGCCGGCUAACUCCGUG
rnacentral:rRNA from 1 species